AAGCGCUUGCAACCAGACUUGCACUUGGUCGAUCAUCCGGGGUUCUCCCCGGUGCACUCGAUCUCGUUCAGGCCAGCAUCGGUUUAGGUGGUGGGAUAAAGGCGUCGGGCACGUAGCUCCUCCGGGAGUGUUAUAGCCCGGCGUGCCAUGCCCCCGCCCGGACCGAGGUUCGCGCUCCGCAAGGACGCUGGCGUAAUGGU
rnacentral:rRNA from 1 species